GAGAAUUCAAGAUGAGAUUUGGGUGGGGACACAGUCAAACCAUAUCAAGUAGCCUUGUAAAAGCUGUCAGCUCAGCUAAUUGAACACUUUUGCCUGAUGAGAAAGAUGUGCUUUCAAUGAUACUAUUUAGGGCGACUACUGCAUAUUCUACCUUAUGGACUCUCUGUUCCACACAGGAGCUCCCAUCUGUAAAGAAGGUCCAGUCUGGAUUUUCUAGGGGAGUUUCCCUGAGAUCUCCCCUGGCUGCAUGGAUUUAUAUCACUACUUGCUCACGGUCAUGUUCAGGUUUUCCAGUUUCCUGUGGGAGGGAGGUGGCUGAAUUCAGGCAAGAUCAAGUCUUUAGUUGACCUGAACAUCCCUCUAGUAGUAGAGCCUGGUAUUUAAGGAGGUGACUGUUAGCCUAAGUCCCCCUUUAGUGAACAGCAAUCCUGUCACAUUAUGUGGGGUAUAAACAGUUAAGCUACUCCCUGGGGUUGAUUUGGUGGCUUUUGCCACCAGUAGGGCUACCGCUGCAACUGCCUGGAGGCAGGCUGUUCAUCCUUUAGCCACUAGGUUCAGCUUCUUACUUAAGUAACCCCCUGGCUAUUGAGCUGACCCUUGAGUCUGAGUUAAAACUCCCAGGGCCAUUCCCUUUCUUUCUGACACAUAAAGACUUAAUGCCUUUCCUAUCAGAAAGCUAAGUGCUGAUGACCAAGCAGGGCUUGUUAAAACGGGUUAAAGGCCCUUUUUGCCUCUGGUUCCCAAAUUAGGGAAUAAGUUUUGGCUGCCUGAGUUUCCUUUAUUAGUUGGUAUAAAGGAUGAGCCAUUUCCCCAUACUUAGGUAUCCACAACCUGCAAAAGCCUGUAAUGCCCCCAAAUCCUCUUAGUUGCCUGAGGGUUUUAGGGAGGGUGAAGGAGGAAAUGAGCUUGAUCCUUUCUUCUCCAAAUGCUUUGGUCCCUCCAGACAACACUAAACCCAGGUAUUUCACUGAGGGUUGGCAAAGCUGGGCCUUGGAUUUUGAAACUUUAUAUCCCCUAUUAGCUAAAAAAUUGAGAAGGGCUUCACUGCUCUCCUCACAAGCUUUCUCAGUUGGGGCACAGAGAAGAAUGUUGUCUACAUACUGUAGGAUUUUAACCCAAGAAUGAGAUAACUCAGAAAGGUCUUUAGACAGUGCUUGUCCAAACAACUGAGGACUGCCCCAAAACCCUUUUGGCAACGCUAUACAGGUUAACUGGACAGUCUGGCCAGAGGGAUCUUUGAAGGCAAGAAGAUACCGUGAGUCCAGGUGUAGUGGUAUGCAGAAAAAGGCAUCCUUUAGGUCUGGCACUGUGAACCAUUUAGGUUCUUCAGGCCUUUGGGUUAGCAAAGUAUAGGGAUUAGGAACUACUGGAUGAAUUGGGACUAUGGCCUCAUUAAUGAGGCAGAGGUCCUGAACUAGUCUCCCUUCCCCAUUGGGUUUUUGUACCCCUAAUAUUGGGGUGUUGCAGGGGCUGUUGCAGGGUUUGAGGAGGCCCUGCUUCUUCAGAUGAUUAACAAUGACCUCUAACCCUUUUCUAGCCUCUGGUGUUAGGGGAUAUUGUCUUUGCUUAGGAAAAGAAGUGGAUCUUUAAGAUGGAUCUGGACCUGUAGAGUGGUUAUAGCCUGGCCAAUUUUCCCCUGGCUUGCCCACACCUCUGGGCUAAUACUGGUUUCCACCAAGGGGAGACAAAUAGUGUGGGCCAGGGCCAUAAGGAUGCUGGCUCCCAUGCAAGCUAAAAUAUCUCUAUCUAAUAAGGGAGUGGGACUUUCGGGCAAGAUUAAAAAGACAUGUGUAAAUAGUAAGUUCCCCUAGGUACAAAUAAAGGGUUGAGAAAAAUAUUGGCUUAGAACCUUUCCUGUGAUGCCCUGUAUAGUUGUGCUAUGGGAAGAGGGGAGAUUUGGACUGGAGAGAACAGAUAGACUAACUCCAGUGUCCAGAAAAAGGUCCAUCUUCCUUCCUUCAGUUUCCAGAAUCACCCAGGGCUACUGGGCAGUAAUGGCAGUUUGGACCACUGGAGCUGGGGAAUUGAGCGCCGGGACCUAUCAGUCUUGCCUGACCGUUUGUGAGACCAGUCUGGACCUGGUGACCUAUGUCUCCAGAGGCAGUUUGACCUUCCCACCAUAGGCUGAACAGGGUCAAGCUGGCUUGAUCUUUCUGCCUGGGCAGUCCUUCUUAAAGUGUCCUGAUUUGACACACUGAUAGCAAUUAGUGGAUGCGCCUGGUGGAUCCUGGACUUUACAGGAUUGUAAAGUGGCCAUCAGAGACUCUGUCCUUCUCCUGUGCUUCCUAUCUUUUUUUCUGGGCCUCCUCCUGAUCCCUAUUGUAAAAGACCAAGAUGGCCACCCUCAGGAGGUUCUUCAGAGUACUAUCUGGUCCUGUAGCCUGUUUCUGUAAUUUUCUUCUAAUAUCAGGGGCUGCCUGAGCAAUAAACUUGUCCUUUAGGAUUAGCUGUUCUUCAACUGAGUCAGGAGACAGGGAAGUGUGUUUUAUUAAGGCCUCUCUCAGUCUUUCCUUAAAAGCUGAGGGAUUCUUAUCUGGUCUCUAAUCUAUCAUGGACAGCUUAGCAUAAUUAAGAGGUUUGGCCCUCAUUUUUUGAAGGUUCUCCAAUAUGCACAUUAAAAAGUGUUUCCUUUUCAGUUCAUUUGUGGGGGCACUACAUUCCCAGCUAGAGUUUUCAAGGAGUAUUGCCUCUCUCCUUAUUGGGAAUAGUUGUUCCAUAAUUUCCUCAUCUUCCUUAUCUCUUCUUUUCCUUUUUGGCCUGCUAUAAAAAACAUGUUAUUCAUCCCCAGUUUUUUCUGCUUCCUGCAGAGCUGCCUGCCUCUCAGCAGCUGUUGGGAUUUAGUUUAACAUAACAUCUCUCCAUGUGAAGUCAUAUGCUUGGUCUAGAUUUUGGAAAGCCUCUAUAUACCUGUCGGGGCUAUCAGAGAACCUACCCACGUCUACUUUUAUUUGUCUAAGGUCUUGCAAUGAGAAGGGAUCCUGUACCCCUAUGGUACCACAUCCACUGGGAAUUUCUUGCAGGAAUAAAAGUGAAGCUGAAGAAGUGGGGAGUUUUGGAAGUGGUGGAACUGAAGGAGCUAAUGGUGCAGUUGGAGGAGGGAGCCCCAGAUAAAUGAAACAAGAGAGGCUGAGACACUCAGUAGUUGUUUCAGAGAAUUUCCCAGGAAUUUGUUUUCUUAGCUUUGGGGAAUCAUUCCCCAUGUGUCUGCCUGAUAUGACUGUUAAAAUACCUGGGUCGAUUGUAUAUCACUUGCAGAAGUAUGAGUUGUCCUGCAGGGCAAAGAAAGCCUUACACAUGGGACCUCGGACCGUUUGCCCUCUCGUCUACAGACAGAAAAGGUCUAAUUGUUGGAUACUAUUAAAAUCCAGACUUCCCUCAGAAGGCCAGGUUUAUCCAUCCCCAAGCUGGUAAGAAGACCACAUUUUUGUGCAAAAGAAUGUGACCACUUUUUCUUCAGAGUCUUGGGGUCAAAGAAUUCCAGUGCUUCAGAAUGCACUCAAGAGAAGAGCAGGCUGAAGAUGUCUGUUACCCAUCUAGAAAGAAGGGGAGAGGAAGCAAAGGCAUUCCUUAGUCUUCUUCCUUUUGGAGUGACCCAGGUGGAGAGGAACACAGUGGGGACAUCCCUGCCAUUAUCCUCCUUCCCCUGUGCAAGCCUCCUUGUCUUAGCAUUUCCAUAAAGGGUGAAGACUGUGCUUACUGGGGCCCACUGUAUGUCCAUAUGUCGCAUAGGAGGGCCCCUUUAUGUGUUAGAGCUUGCUUUCCUUAUCUAUGUUUGCAGUAUGAUCUCUCAGGCUGCACUUUGCUGAAAGAGAAAUGACCUCUUGAGCUGCUUUUUGUUGGAAGGGAAUUCUACUGAGGACCCUUGCCCUAACUAUCUGCCUAGUUGAUUUCUCUCUCUCUCUCCUCUCACAAUAUUAUUUAUAAAUAUUUAUGCAAAAAUAUUAAAUAAAAAAUUAUCAAAAGGAACCUAACACCAAGUUCACCAAGUUAAGAAAAUAAUACAUCAUGACAAAGUGGAAUUUAUUUUAGGAAUAACUAACAAGGUUGGUUCAAUGCUAGGCCAGGUUGGUUCAAUAUUAGGAAACAUUGAACAUAUACCAAAUUAAUAGUUAUAAGUGGAAAAUUAAUGUUCUCCAUGGAUGCUGAAAAAUGUAUUUGACAAGAUUUCCACUAAAAAUCUGCAAGGAAAUAGGAAUUAACUAAUAAUUUCAUUAAUGGAGAAACACUAGUGGUAUUUUCACUACAGUCAAGAUCAAGGCAAGAAGGACCACUACCUCUACUACUAUUUAAUAUCUUACUGAGUGUAUUAGCCAACACAAUUAGAAAAGAGAAAUGAAUCAGAGGCAAAAUAAUGAGAAAAAAGGAAGUAAAACUCUAUAUUUGGAAAAUAUGCUAAUAUACCUAGAAGCCUUUGGAAUUUCCUCA